rnacentral:rRNA from 1 species
GCUGACGAGUGGCGGACGGGUGAGUAAUGUCUGGGAAACUGCCUGAUGAGGGGAUAACUACUGGAAACGGUAGCUAAUACCGCAUAACGUCGCAAGACCAAAGAGGGGGACCUUAGGGCCUCUUGCCAUCGGAUGUGCCCAGAUGGGAUUAGCUAGUAGGUGGGGUAACGGCUCACCUAGGCGACGAUCCCUAGCUGGUCUGAGAGGAUGACCAGCCACACUGGAACUGAGACACGGUCCAGACUCCUACGGGAGGCAGCAGUGGGGAAUAUUGCACAAUGGGCGCAAGCCUGAUGCAGCCAUGCCGCGUGUAUGAAGAAGGCCUUCGGGUUGUAAAGUACUUUCAGCGGGGAGGAAGGGAGUAAAGUUAAUACCUUUGCUCAUUGACGUUACCCGCAGAAGAAGCACCGGCUAACUCCGUG